GGUCAAGGAUGGACUCGCGGCCUAUCAGCUAGUUGGUGAGGUAAUGGCUCACCAAGGCGACUACGGGUAGCCGGCCUGAGAGGGUGACCGGCCACACUGGGACUGAGACACGGCCCAGACUCCUACGGGAGGCAGCAGUCGGGAAUAUUGCACAAUGGGCGAAAGCCUGAUGCAGCAACGCCGCGUGAGGGAUGACGGCCUUUCGGGUUGUAAACCUCUUUUAGUAGGGAAGAAGCGAAAGUGACCGGUACUCUGCAGUAAAAAGCACUCGGCUAACUACGUGCC
rnacentral:rRNA from 1 species